rnacentral:rRNA from 1 species
GACGAACGCUGGCGGCGUGCUUAACACAUGCAAGUCGAACGGAAAGGCUCCAGCUUGCUGGAGUGCUCGAGUGGCGAACGGGUGAGUAACACGUGGGUAAUCUGCCCUGCACUCUGGGAUAAGCCUGGGAAACUGGGUCUAAUACUGGAUAUGACCUUUCUCCUUAUGGGGUUUGGUGGAAAGUUUUUCGGUGUAGGAUGAGCCCGCGGCCUAUCAGCUUGUUGGUGGGGUGAUGGCCUACCAAGGCGACGACGGGUAGCCGGCCUGAGAGGGUGAUCGGCCACAUUGGGACUGAGAUACGGCCCAGACUCCUACGGGAGGCAGCAGUGGGGAAUAUUGCACAAUGGGCGGAAGCCUGAUGCAGCGACGCCGCGUGAGGGAUGACGGCCUUCGGGUUGUAAACCUCUUUCAGCAGGGACGAAGCGUAAGUGACGGUACCUGCAGAAGAAGCACCGGCUAACUAUGUG